GGCACAGACCCAGUUUAUUGCUGUAUUAAAAAAAACCCUCCCGUUGAGGCAGGACCGGCUGCAGACCCAGAAUAAGAACCACUGUAAAAUGGCGAAGCUCCUGCGGCGAAUUUCAGUUGAACUUUGUAAUCUGCUUUUGGCAAAUGUGAGGACUGAGUCAUGGAAUCACCUUUGCUGCUGAUCCCCCUCCACCACAUCGAUGUCUCUUUGCAGAUGCUGUCUGACUUGCUAAGCAUUUCCAGCGUUUUCUGCUUUUAUUCAUAUAACCUCCGAGGGUCUACUGCUGACUGGCUUCAUUCCAGGCUGGAGUGGUUUCUGUAGAUCUACAUUUGCCAAAUAUGACAAGGAAAGAAACAAGGGAAGAAAUAACCAGUGACAGACCAUCUCCUCUAUCUGGACAUCACAUGCAGCAGCAGCAGCAAAACGACUCCAAGUACGAUUCAGGACCAACCUCAUGGUGGAAGCAAAGGGAAGGAGCUGGUGGUGGGAGAGCUGGGAAAUUGGCCCGGCAUUGACGGACUGCACAAAGAGGCUGUCUGAUAUGUGUGGAAUAUUCCAGAGACUUUUAACAAACAAGCUGUCAGACAUGGCCAUAAAAAGAUAGAGACAUUUGCAUGAUCCUAGACACUUACACUGCAAGACAGCACCUUUAAACUCCUAGCUACAGACACUCCACAGUCCUAGACAUAGACACCAUGACAGUCCCAGAUAUAGACGCCCCACAUAGACAUCUCUACACCCUUUGUCACAGAGCACCCCCUCACCACACACCUAGACCUACACAUGCCCACAUACCAAUCCCCCACACUCCGGGGCUAGACACCCACACUCCUAGAAGUAGACAACCCCCACAUGCUCAUAUGCAGACAUCCCAGAUUUCAGGACACAGACACCCCACACUCUGGGACACAAAGAUCCCCAUGUACACCUGGACAUAGAUAGCCACACAGACCCAGGCAGAUAGAUUCACAGUCCUAAACUCAAACAUCUCCUACACUCCUGGACAUACACACCCCUCAUAC